GACGAACGCUGGCGGCGUGCUUAACACAUGCAAGUCGAACGGAAAGGCCUGCUUUCCCUUGUGGAUUGCGGGUACUCGAGUGGCGAACGGGUGAGUAACACGUGAGUGAUCUGCCCCCAACUUGGGUAUAAGCCUGGGAAACUGGGUCUAAUUCCCGAUAGGACUGCAGGGUGGUGCCUGUGGUGGAAAACGAUUUUCUAGUGGUUGGGGAUGAGCUCGCGGCCUAUCAGCUUGUUGGUGGGGUAAUGGCCUACCAAGGCGGCGACGGGUAGCCGGCCUGAGAGCGUGGACGGCCACAUUGGGACUGAGAUACGGCCCAGACUCCUACGGGAGGCAGCAGUGGGGAAUAUUGCACAAUGGGCGGAAGCCUGAUGCAGCGACGCCGCGUGGGGGAUGACGGGCUUCGGGUUGUAAACUCCUUUCGACCGCGAGGAAGCCACCUGGUUGGAAGGGUGGUGACGGUAGUGGUAGAAGAAGCACCGGCUAACUACGUG
rnacentral:rRNA from 1 species